GCCCUCGUGGCUUAAUUGGACAAAGCAAUUCCCUUCUAAGGAAAAGAUUGCAGGUUCGAGUCCUGCCGAGGGCA
rnacentral:tRNA from 1 species